AUAUGAUGGGCCUACACGAAAUGAUGCUACAGAAUUAUGGCUGUAUCGCCGUGAAUGAACGCCAUGAUGUUGUACAAUCUAUGAAAUAUAGAAGGAAAAUUCCAGCGAUUACUUUUACGUAUUCAAACCUAUCAUAGCAGUUAAAUUCGUAGAUAAACAUUUUGUGAUUUCAUCUCCUGGCAAUUGUCGGUCCACACAUACCUUAUGCGAUAAAAAGCUUGUCAAACUACCAAUUUAUGGGGGUAAUUAAUUUUAUAUAUUAUUUAUUUGUCUAGUAAAUAUUUCUUUAGCCAUUGUUGCGCUCCGUCUAGCUAAUUAUCAAUGGCAAGAGCAUUUAAUUGGAAUAUCAAUUCUACUUUAUUAAAUUACUGACAACCGCAAUACAGUUUCUAGGUAUUUUUUUAACGAUCUUAAAAAAAAAGUGUAGCUAGCGAGAUAUUGGCUCUGUAUGCAUAAUGCAAAAAAAAGAGCACCAGUGAUAUGGUUUCCUUGCUGCAUAAUCAAGUAUGCGCUAUUCGUUAAGCAAAAAUUCUAUUGAAAUCGUAAGUAUGCGAAAGUAUUUAGAGUCUUUUCUUUGCAUGAACAUUCUGAUUACAUUGGUUACAAUUAUAAGUGACUAUUAUUUACGUG